rnacentral:rRNA from 1 species
GGGUGUAAAGGGCGUGAAGGUGGUGCGGUACGUUUUUAAAUACUCAAACAUAAUUUGAGGGCCUUAAAAUACGGCCGCGCUUGAGUUUAUUUGAAGAAAGUUGUACUUCUAGUGUAGAGGUGAAAUUUGCAAAAAUUAGAAGGACAGUCUACGGGCGAAAGCGACUUUCUACUAUAAACUGACACUAUAGCGCAAAAGCAUAGGUAGCAAACGGGAUUAGAGACCCCGGUAGUCUAUGCAGUGACCGAUGAAUACUAAAUGCUCCUGACCGUAAGGGGGUAUUUAAGCUAACGCGUAAGUAUUCCGCCUGGGAACUACAACCGCAAGGUUCAAACU